rnacentral:lncRNA from 1 species
AUUGAGGAACACUGGGAGGGACAAAUAAAUACACUUGCAGCUUGCAGGAGGAAUUAUAUGCAUUUUAGUGACCUGAACAGUAGCAAUACUCAUUUUAAAUCUCCGCUAAAUUUAGUUUGAUCUUAGCAGAAACAUUAUAUUUUUAGCCGGAACAUGGGUGAGACAAAUCCUGAUCAGUUUCUACUCAUGAUACUAAAACUAACGGCUAAUUGACGGGCUUAAAAAUCCGAGAAGCAAAUAACCGAUCAAGAAGAACAACAUUGGCAUGAAAGUUAUUUUUAAAGCAAAACUAGAAAUUUUGCAUAGAACCGAUAAAGUUAAGAAGGUAAGAAGAUAAUGGCCAAGUAAAUCCCUCGUCAGUUACCUGACUAAGUCGGAUGAACGACGGUUAUAAGACAAUGCGAAUAUAUUCUAGGAAUUUGACAAAUAAUACUUAUAUAAAGCUUUCGCAGAAGUCAUUAACAUAAAAAUCUGCAUUGUAUGGACUAAUGUUAACAGCUUUCGGUAUUAAGGAGAAGAUGGAUGGUGUUUUAACUAUAAGCACCGAAACUAAUUCUUGUUCGUUUCCUGUACAAUAAACUUGAUAA